rnacentral:miRNA from 1 species
AGGCGUUGUGGCGGGCGCCUGUGAUCCCAACUACUUGGGAGGCUGAGGCAGAAGACUCGAUUGAGCCCAGGAGUUGGAGGUUGCUGUGAGC